ensembl:lncRNA
CAUAAAAAAGCAUCUCUGUGUUUUGGAAGCACGUUAAUCUGCACACAAGGCAAGUCAGCUCUAGACAGAAAGCGACACUGGAACACAACCGAACGGGGCUUUCCUAACCCCUCCAAAACCUUACAAGAAAACACAACCGACCCGGUAUUGCUUUGUCCCCGCCGUACCCGCCCUGCCCGGCCCCACCGCUCGCCGGGGCUGGGCUCGCCGCCCGCUCCCUGCCUGCGGCUCCGAGCUCCCACCGGCAGCAAGGAGCCCGGGGCGGGCAGGGGACCGCCCGCAGCCCUCCUCCCCGACCCCACCUGCGGACCUGGCGAGGCGCAGCGGUCCCCCUGCUGCAGGCGCACGAGCCGAAGUCCGGGCGAGCAGCGCUCCCGACCCGGCGAGACGCCGGCGCCUACAAACUCUACUUUGCCUCGCAGCCCCUCGGUGCCAGCGCGCAGCCGGAGCCCCGGGGGCGGGCGGCUCCGCGCAGCCCGCACCCCAACUUGCGGCCGCCCCGCACCGCCACCUGCCCUGCCCGGCGCCGCCCCGCAGCCACCGGGGGCUGAGGGGAGCUGGGGGCGUGGGGGGAUNNNNNNNNNNNNNNNNNNNNCCGCCGCCCCCGCCCCGCCUCCGCCGCCCCCGGCCCCGGCCCCGCUGCGCACCUGCGGCCGCCCCUCGGCUCCUCAGCCCCGGCUGCGGGCGGAGCCGUGCCGCUGCCGCCGCCGCUCCGCAAGUUUGCGGCGUUCCGGGGCUGCCGUGCCUCCCCCGGCACCGCGCGGCCGCUGCAGGGAGGAGGAGGAGGCGGCGGCGAGCAGGGGCGCGGGCGGCUCCCGGUGGAAAGUUGCCGGCCGGGGGCUGGUCCCGAGCUGGGAGCCGGGGACUCCCCUCCCCGGGCUGCAUUGGGGUCGGGAGGCUCCGCGCUGCCGCGCUGUAGGCGCGGGCCGCCUGCCAGCCAUCUCCUCCGCCGGGCUGCGGGUGGCAGCGCGGCUGGAAAUGCGCCUGUUGUCGGAGCGGCCGGGAAGGUGGGCUGCCCCCCGGCACAGGCCCCGGGGGAGCGGCGGGGGCUGGGGCAGAGCUGCCGGCCGGUGUCCGCCAACAAAGGACCCGAGCGGAUGCGCGGUGGCGGGGGCCAAGGUUCCUUGUCUGGGAGCGGGGAUGUGA